UCAAGGGUAGUCUGUUCGUCUCGAGGAAUAAGAAUAUUCGUCAGCGAUGUGCUUUACCAGUGCUUAACGUACAUUGUGAUAGAUUAUUGAACGUCGUGUGAACACCGGCUAAAAACCCGAUGAAAGAAGUUACCUGAGAAACGUUUACAAUUCUGCGAAUGGAGCUUACGAAAACUACAAGACGAAGUGUUCUUGACUAAAAUUUUGUCUACGGAUGAGGCCAAAUUUACAAACUAUGGAGUUACAACAAAUUAAGCGUCACAACAUUUACUACUGGUCAUAGUAAAAUAAUUCCUCAAUAUUUCAUUGAUGGCACACUAAAUAAUUGUAAGUUAAAAAAAAGAAAAAGGACGAAAUCUUAGAAAAUGUUCUGCUAGAAUUAUUAGAGAACAUUUCAUUGGACAUACAACGAUCCACGUGGUACCAAACAACCAAGUCACAUAACUUAUUGAACUUAUUGAAGCAGGUAUACCCCAAAGCGGCUUUGUGGGGCCAGUACUAUAGACCAUACACUGAAGAUAUAUUACUAGCAUUACUGACACCACAACAUUCAUAUUUGCAGAUUGUAUAGCACGUAAAUUUCGAACUUGUUUAACUUGUUGAGGUUUUUGAAGCACGUGUACUGCAAAGUAGCGUUGUGGGCCAGUACUAUAGACCAUACACUGAAGAUAUAUUACUAGCAUUACUGACACCCCAAUAUUCACAUCUGCAGAUUGCACAGCACACAAAUUUUGAACUUGUUGAACUUGUUGAAAUACGUGGUACCGCAAAGCAGCGUUGUGGGCCAGUACUGUAAACUCUACACACUGAAGAUAUUGCUAGCAGUACUAAGACCCCAAUAUUGAUACCUAUUAUAAAGCACGCAACUUUUUGCACUUAUUGAAGCAGGUAUGCCUCAAAGCGGCGUUGUGAGGCCAGUACUAUAGACUCUGAAGUUAUUACUGAAGAUAUUAAUACUAUUACUGAGGCCUCAAUAUUUACAUCUACAAAUGAUACUGAGAUGAAAAAAUCGCAUAAGAUUUUUUGUAACAACAGCUGCUACGAAUUGAACAAUGGUUAAGUGAAUGGAGAACAAAAAUCAGCUAUUAAAGCUGCAACCACGUUACAUUUACGUUAAAGAAGGGAACUCUUCCUUCUGUUGCUCUCAACAGAAUUAGUAUUCCUCAAACUAAAACUUACUAGCAGGAACUCUGAGCUAAACGCGAGAAAUGAGUCUCCUAUUGAUAAAACGGUAAUCAUCUACGGGAUUGCAUUAUGUGGUACGGCUACUGAGAGCCAUAUAACACUGAUGAAGCGCUGCAGCCCGUAAUUCUAAGGACUAUUGCCAAUGCUCCUUGGCACACACGGAAUGAGCAAACACGAAGCGAUCCUAUGAUCAAAGCUUAAAACUAUCCCAGCAAUGUUGGAAAUAAUCUAUAUUCAAGGAAUCUUGCUAGAAGACUACGUAGGUCGCAUCCAAACAACUUGCUCCCCUCGGCAUAAAGAGUGUGUGCAUUGGAGACGUAUACUACUGAGGGAGCAUCUGCGUGAUAAACAUUUUAAACACUCUUAAAACAAUUUACCAAAUGUCUUUCCUGGAGAAAUUGUGUAGUGCAUUGGAAUUACUAAAAAGAAGAACGUAUUCAUGUCAUUUUGAAUAUUUGUACCAGCAGUAUUGAUUUUGGCUAAUUUGUCGCCUUGAAAUGCUUUACCAGAUUGUAAACAAAAACCAUAUCGUUUCAUUUGAAAAGAUAUAGUUGAUUUUCGUAUCAACUUGACGGCUUCAUCAAUAGAAAAAUUAGUAAUAUCACAGUAUGAGAACCUUCGAUAUCAUCAAGUGCCUGGAAACAGUUGUGUCAUCUCGCCGAUGAACCGAGGACAUGUGCGUCCUGUCUCCGUCCCGAAAUAUCCUUUUUGCGAGGUGCUUUGGGUGCCUACGCCCCGUCGGAUGAGAUGCUCGGCGUGCGCCCUCCCCAGGACGAAGACGAGGAGGCUGGCUCGCCGAUAUACGUGUAUGAUAUUUAUUAUAGAAUAUAUGAUGAAAAAUAGUGUUGUUAUUGAUUAUGAAAAUUCUAUUAUAUCUAUAUGCUGUAGUAUUGUGGAAUAAUCAUAAGAAAAGAACUCUCUAGGAGUACGAAUUACAAUGUACAUAGGAAGUGGAAAUGUAAACAGGGCAGAAGGGACGUGAAAUUCCAAUGGACCACGUGGCCCAUCGAUGUGUCGGCGGCCUGUAAGAAAAGUAAUUACUUGAAAACGACGUAUGUGAACAUCGUUGAUCAUGGAUAGCUACGGAACACGCAUGUGUGGUGGGAGUAUAAAAACUGAUGAUAAAGGGAUGGUAGAAAAAGUCAGUUAGUUGCGAGUUAAUUGGGAAUUAGUCACGAGUCGUGAGUAGUUACUUGCGAGUUAUGAGUUGUUACUCGAUAGUUGACUAGUUGUGACCAAUUUAAUUAUUUUAUUUACAUUAUAUUAUUACAUUAAAAAAUAGCUCUAAAUUAAAAAAUUAUAGUUUGCUGUUGCAAUCAUUAUAAAUAAAUCUACCGAAUAAAUAAGUCACUAUAAUACAAAAUUCCAUUAUUUGAGUGUUCCGAAGCAUUUAAUCUUUAAUAAGAAGCAAUUGGAGUUAUUUUUUGAUCUUGUAUUCUGUGACUUAAUUCAUCUGGAUUUGUUUGGAAAGUUACGAAAUUGGAAAAUAAUGAAACUAGCUACGUUUCACUUAUUGAAUACACCAUGUUUUAAAUCGCUUAAUUUGAGAC